GUCAGUGCCUAGAGGGGCUGCUUACAAGAAACAUCAAGGAGGUUUUACUGUGAUUGCCAUGUAGGGGGUUGCAGAUCCCUUCAGUCCAGUGGGGCCAGAGACAUAUUCCUGGAUCACUUAUGAGUGGCUGUGGCUCCUUUGUUUCCGUAUUGGUCUAGCUUGAAAAAUGAAAAUAUUAAAUACCAAUAACUUUGUAGUAAAUCUUCUGUACUGAAUACACAGACUGUAAGUUUCUUUCUCUGUCUUUAAUUAAAAAGAAGAACAAAACCCCAGAUAAUCUAUUUUUGAAAGGUCCAGAAAGACUUUACUGAAGAUGGAAUUAGAGCUGUUAUUGUGUUAGAGCAUUAUGUGCACUUGAAAAUUAAAGAGCUGUAGAAAAUUGAUACAGAAAUUGAUCUGUCAUGUCUAAAAUAGCAGAAAAAAAACCCUCAAAAAACAAAAGAAAACAAACCCAAACAACCCCCCCC